GAUGAAGAACGUAGCGAAAUGCGAUAAGUAAUGCGAAUUGCAGAAUUUCCGUGAGUCAUCGAAUCUUUGAACGCACAUUGCGCCCACUGGUAUUCCGGUGGGCAUGCCUGUUCGAGCGUCAUUAUCCUCCCUCAAACCCCGGGUUUGGUGUUGGACCCAAGUUGUGUGAACAACUGGUCUCAAAGACAAUGACGGCGUCCGUGGGACCCUCGGUGCAACGAGCUUUUAGGAGCACGCAUCGAGUUGCAAGGACCUUCCGGGCCAGUCUCCUUUACCAUUUUACAAGGUUGACCUCGGAUCAGGUAGGAAUACCCGCUGAACUUAAGCAUAUCAAUAAGCGGAGGA
rnacentral:misc_RNA from 1 species